CAGCGGGGGGGAGCAAGUGUUGUUCGGAAUCACUUGGGCGUAAAGGGCGUGUAGGCGGUCGAGUAAGUGGAAUGUGAAAUGCUCCGGCUCACCCGAGUACCUGCAUCCCAAACUGCUCGGCUUGAAUUCGGGAGGAGGGAUGCAGAAUUCCAGGUGUGCGGUGAAAUGCGUAGAUAUCUGGAGGAAUACCGGUGGCCGAAGGCGGGCAAUCCUG
rnacentral:rRNA from 1 species